UCUUUUUUUGUUUGUUCUUGUAGCAUUUCAAUAAAAUUUAGGGAGGAUGGGUAUUUUGAUCUAUAUUUGUUAUUUGAGUAUCUUGUAAAAGGAUGUUUACUCCCUUAGACUGACAACGUGAAACUUGUGUUGCUGCGGAACUUGAAGCUCACAAGAAUUGGCUUUUCUGCUCAGUAGUUGGGAAUAAUCAUUCGGGGCUUGAAUAGUCUAAAAAUCUGGUGUAGGCCUAUUAAACUACUUAAACAUCUUUGCCGCAAGGCUCCCUAUGGUUGGAAAUACACUAUCAUCUCAAUUUAAAUUCCUUCAAUUUGUCUCUUAAAUUUAUCAUUUGAACUCCGCAUAUACCAUCUUCCUACUCACCCUCGACGAAUCUGGAGACCUACUCCAUAAUUAUAUAUGCUCUAUUUUGCACAUUUCUUGUUGGAAAAUAGGAAAGUGGUCACAAACUCACAAUGGUGGUUUUUAAUUGUGGAGGGACUGAAUCACUGUUUACAUAUAGACAACCUUCAUUUAUGGUUCCUCAAAGAGUAAUUUUUUUGAGCUCAACAGCCUCGAUCUUUCACUAUUUGAUCAAAAGAAGUUAAAGUUCUACUGGAUAACAAGAACAUUAUAGAUGCUUACCAAGUGUUUGAGGAAUGUUCACUCUGAAAAUCCAAAAGCUACGCGUAAGCUGGAUAGCAACAGACUCUAGUUAUGAUGCUUGCCAAGAAACAUAGAGACAAAGCUACCAAGGCUGUAGGAACUGGAAUAAACAAAAACGAAAGAAGUUACUUUGAGAAAGAGACUGGAUUUGGAGAAAAUCUGUAAGAAGGCACAUUUGGUUAUUGAGAUUUGAGACACAAAAUUCAAUCUGUUUCCUGUGGAAACUAUAGAAACUGGUAUGUAUUCUGUCUUAAAUAGACAUCAACUUUACAUGUAGCAACUUUUUCUUGUUCAACCAAAUGAUUUCUAACUGAAUCAUUGCUGCGGGUUACUUAAACAAAGUCAGUGAAAUAUCUUGGUUUCAAUCUUGA